GCUAGGAUUACAGGCGUGAACCACCGCGCCCAGCCCAGUUUCUUCUUUAAAAUGGGGCCGUGGACAUUCACCUAGUGAGAUGAAGGCGUUACAGAAGCAGGUCACAAGACCCUCAUGUGAGAGGUGCCCUCCCUAUACCUGGAGGACAGGAGCGUCCUUCUCUCUGAAGACACGAAAACAGAGAGAAUCUGCACAAGCAGGUCUUGAGAUGAAACAGGAAAGGGAAUGCGUUGGAGCCAUUUUUUAAAACUACAAACUGUUUCUCACUACCCUCUGGACUGUUGGCGUUCUACCAUUGACGGAGGGUGGAGCUGAAAAUUCUGGGCAGCUUUCCUCCAACGAGCCCAAGAAUCUGAAAGGCCACCCUGACACCCACGUACUACUCACCAGACACAGCCAGCGUCACUGGACAGCCACAAGUUUUGUUUUUGUUUGGUUUUUGAAUUCAGAGCUUCUGUUUGAGGCUUAGAGUUUCCAAGAUGGAGCAGGGACCCCUCUUAGGGGCCUACGGGGCCCCCUAAGCAUAAAGGAAAAUCUUGAGUUCCUUCCAAAGAAAUUCCAGGUACCUAACUAGCCCUAAGAAGUAAAUGAACAACUUGAUAAGCAAGAAAGUAACAGUGGUCUACAACAAUAGCCAAAAGCCCUGACCCCGACCAAAGGUUCCCCUGGCACAUCCACCUGAGAUAAAGAGCUGAGGACUGAAUUCUGAUGACCAUUCUUUGUUCUA
rnacentral:lncRNA from 1 species